GGGUGGGGGUCGGUCGUGGUACUGUUGUCUCCUACCUCAGGCCGCUGGACUUUUCUAGUUGCGGCAAGGCUGAGUUCGUCCGGAAGUGAAUCCAACAAGAAGACCACAUUGACCAGUGGGCAUGAAGUUCCUGAUACAGCUAAUUCAAAGGUACCACACUAGUUCAUUAGACUCACCUGAUGUUUUUGCUCGAUUUUGGAUCCCGUGGUAUCAAUCUGGAAUUUCGUCCUCAUGCUGCGCAGAUCCAUGGUGCUUGAGGAGGUCACCGAUUGCGGGGACGGAGCAGCAUCAGAAACCCGCGGAUAGCUUUGACGAGCAUAUUUGCGUGCGGGAGGUGGAGGUGGGAGAUCAAAGUGAGGGUUCACCGCAGGCUUCUGAGUUCCGAACAAACGAUAGGGAAGAUGGACCUAGAGCUCCAGGAUGGAGCCGCGGGUAUUUCCAUGCUCAAUACAAUAGUUCCGAAUUUAAUGGUGUAAAUUUGGAGAAUCACUUUUCGUAUGUGUGUGGUUGGUUGCAUAUAAUUUGAGGUGCAUAUGAACAAUCCGAGGUCGUAUGUGUGUGGUUGGUUGUAAUUACAAGAGUACAAAACAGGGACACAUCAUUUGAUUGUGAGCUGGAUGAAUCGGCAUGCACAUAUUGUUGAGCCCUUGGAUAAAUAAUUGAACCAUAAAUUGUGAACUAAAAAGAUAGAAUGUCUAUGUUGCAAAAUUCACGUGUGCAAAUCUGAAUGUGAUUGCUUGUAAUUAUGAGACAACAUACUGGGUAAUUUAUCUGAUGUUGUACAGAAUCACUACUUGUCAGGAAUUGAAUGAUAUGAUCACUAGAUCACAUAUUGAUGGAACAAAAUGAUGUUUUUGUUUUGUAUAUGGUUGAUUGAAUAGCGAUGGUAUCCAUGAAUAUUCCAAGACAUUUCUGAAUUUUACAUUGUUGUUUUAUAGUUUCAUUUCCGCCUGUCAGAGUAUAAUCCUUCUAUAUAGAAGGAAAAUAUUGUGAUCGUCACUAUGUUGGAGGCC
rnacentral:lncRNA from 1 species